CACUGAUUAGGUGCUGUUUUGAUUGGGAAGGCAGCACAUGAAACAAUUUGGAACCAAAGUGGAAGGAGAGAUGGAAAGAACACAGGGAGGAAAAGGAAACUGGGACAGAAAGUCAUCUCCCCAGCCCAGUUUACAGAUGAUGCUCACAAUUGGACACCUAAUGUUCAAGCCCGAGCAGGGUGAAUGGCUAGAAGGUGGGAUCUGCACACAUCUAGCAAGAAUUAAUGGAAGAAGUAAAUUUCUGCUGGAAAAAUUGACACCCUUCAAAGACAGCCAACACUAGGGAACUGCUUAAGUAGCAAAGAGUUAUGCUGCUGCAGCUAAAGUAACAUCAAGGGCAUGGCAAACAAUGCAAUGCCAUGACGCUUGCCAACUUGUGACAGAAAAAGGAGGGAUGAGUGGACUUCCUGAUUCCAUGCAGGAUUUCCUGAGUGAUUCCUUUUGUUCCAUCGGCUUGCUUAGUCUGCCUUCUCCUACCUUGCUUCCAUUUCAACAUGGAGAAUUUCUAAAAUUAAUUCUGGAAAAAGCAGA